UUUAAUUCAUUUGGAUCACAAAUAAAUUAGCACUUUCUUUUCUCUUAAGAUAUUUAUUUUGUUGAGGAAAAGGGACUAAAAAAAAGAUUGUACUUCAUUUUACUCUUACAAAUAUGUUGUUUUGAAGGUUCUACCUCAGCAUUGUGAAGUGAGCCACUGUUUAAUACCAGACUGAAGUGUUUGUUCUAACCAUAAUGAAACACUAUUGACAAUCUGGUUUCUUCAACUUUCACUCAGGAGCUAAAAUCAGACUUUAUCACUAUCAAAUGAUAUGGAAAGUUUUUAUUGUUUCACAUGUUUGGCCAUGUCGCCCAGCCCUAACUCAUGCACUGCUGUGUUAAUCUCAAUAUAAACUAACGUUACUAAAAUAACAGAGUAGCCUACACAUUUUAAAGAAAUAUGGCAAGAAAACGCUUCCGGACCGAACUUAAGUUUCACUUUCACUUUGCGGCCGAGCUAUAUGACUUACAGGCGCACCUCACGGGGAAAAGACACGCUUUAGAAAGUUAUUUGAACCUUGUCUAGUUAUAGAUCAUUUUUGGACCCGCGCAAAUGGGAAGAGGAUUCGGUUGUUUGAGCUACAACGAUCGGAUCUUCCUCCAACCACUUAAAACUUAAACAUGCGUCUCCCAUUAUCUUGCACGACUGACGAUAAUGAAAUAUGACACGCUGCAAGACGUCUGCAGCUACCGAUAAUACAAAUUAUAAAAUUAAUGGCGCGGUCUCACAUUGUCUAAUAUUAAGUUAAUUAAACAAAUAUACGCUAACUAGACGUUUUACGGUGUGCCACUGUGUUCGACAAUCCCCGCACAAGCCUUAAACGCACCAUCGUCAAAUGUAAUACCUACAGCUAAUUUACGGUAAAUUUCAGACAAUUUAAGUCCUUAAUUUCCCCGAUUUUAUUUUAAAGCCUUGUAAGGAGCCGCGGGAUCCCUGCAGUUAUAUGAUUGCUUGCUUCAGGUGAUUAGCUUACAUUACUAAAUCAAUUAUUCAAGCUCAGUCCAAUCUGAUCCACUCUGAUAACUGAUUAUAUAUAUAUAUAACCAAAAAAAGUAACUAUGAGAGGAACUCCCAACAUUUACAGUGGUAAAUAAAAAAUGUUUUAUUGUUAUGUGAGGAUAGAUCGUUGGUUCUGUAUUGGAUGGAGACAUUUUCUGAAGAGCUCUUUCUGAAUGAGACUGAACUGUGUAUUGUGUAUUUACAUUACAAUAAAGUAGUCAAAGUCUCUAUGAAUCUUCUGUAUCCCAGUUGUUGUGUGUUCAGACGUGUUUUUGUUCCUGUUCAUUAGUUGUUAGUUAGCAGGAUGCUGCAAAAAGUAUACUUAACAGAAUUGCAUGACAUUUGGUAGACCUCGAGACCAUGACUCAAGAACUGUUGCUGCAGACAACACUGCUGAAUGGCUUUUUAUAAAGCACUUUACAUGUUUUAUUUUAUUUCCAAUUCAGGCACAGGAGUGAACUAUUCCGUGUCUUGUCUUGUUUUGUAAUUCACUUCAGACAGGAAAUGCAAAAUUGUUUCUACACCACAUGACUUAAUAAAAGAGAAAGUAAAAAAUCCGAAUCAGCAGAGCUGCUGCAAUCAAGUUUUUAUCGCUCUACAAUAUGCAGACAUAUACAACUUGGUUCAACAAAGACCUCUUCAGUUUAACAUACACAGUGUAUAAACAUGGCAGCAGCCAGCACUCUCAUCUUUGAAGAUCAGUGUCGGUGCUGCAUCUGUCUGGACGUGUUCACUGAUCCAGUCACCAUACCAUGUGGACACAACUUCUGCAAAUCCUGCAUCACGGAACACUGGAAUAUCACAGUCCCCCACCAGUGUCCUUUGUGUAAAGAGUUUUUUGACAGAAGACCUGAACUGCGGGUCAACACCUUUAUUUCUGAUAUGGCUUCGCAGUUCAGACAGCCAGCCAUAAAGAAAGUUGGUAACUUCUCAGAACAAGAAUGUGCAAACCCGGAGGAGGUUCUCUGCGAUGUCUGCACUGAACCCAAACUGAAGGCCCUGAAGUCCUGCCUGGUGUGUGUGACCUCAUACUGCGAGACUCACCUGAAACCUCACCAGACAUUCGCCGGCCUGAAAAAACACAAGCUGAUCGACCCUGUGGAGAACCUGGAAAGCAGGAUGUGUAAGAAGCACGAUUGGCCUCUGGAGCUGCUCUGCAAGACUGAGUAGAGGUGUGUGUCCCAGGUGCAAACAGAUCACAAGAGACAUCAUGUGGCCCCUCUUGAAGAAAAUAAGGCAGAGCUGGAAGAGACUUAGGCUGAAGUUCAGCAGAAGGUCCAGCAGAUCGAACAGUCAGUGACACACAGCAAGGAAGAUUCCUACAGUGUCCAGAUGUUCACCGCUCUGAUUCAGUCUGUUAAGAGAGGUCAGUUGAUUGACUGAUUGAACCUCUUUAUUGACUAUAAAUAGAAAAGUGGUGCCUCUAGCCAGAGAUGCCCCAACUACAAAAGAUCUGGCUGAGCUAGCUCACAAGAUCAAACAGACACAGAAAACAGAGAAAAAGGCUGAAAGUGUCAUCAAAGAGCUGGAAGGGGAAAUCUCUGAGCUGAUGGUAGAGAAGCGCUGAGCUGAGGCAGCUCUUACACACAAGACCACUUCCAGCACCUCCAAAACUUCCCGUUCUGGAACCCUGCUCCUGUCUAUUCAUGUUAUGAGACUGAGUGGACGUGUCUCUUAAUCCUGAUACUGUAAAUCCCUGUCUCAUCCUGUCUGAUACCCCAGAGAGAUUGUCCUCUUGUGCAAUCUCAGGGAGGCAGAGUCUCUCUUCGAGCAGGAAGACUGUCCUCACGCGUCACUCAUUCACAACUCUCUCUUAUUCACUCCUUCCCCCCUAUCAGCUCGCCAUGGGCGUUCCCAUCGAGUUUACCAAUCAGGUUUCACCACGGUCACCUCAGCCAAUCACCAAGUCACUAUCACACUUUAAAUCUGUUCUCUCUCUCUCUGCUCACAGCUGUCAUUUCAGUAUGAAUGGCUGCUGCCCUCGUCCGCCCCAUUCACCUCCGGCACACCAGAACCAGGAAACCUCGGAUACUUUUUAACUUUGCAAGCUGAUGAAGUCCGCCCAAGUGCACCAUGUGUUUUGAUCUCUUAGAGGAUGGACAAUUUUGGGAGGAGGUAUGAACUUGGUGUUACGGUCUUCAAGUCUUGGGAAGCAGUGGUUCUAAAACCUUUUCAAGACACACCUAAACAAAUUAGACCAUGGACCAAGAUUUUGUCCCAGGGUCCCCCAUCUGAUAGUAUAUUUGCAUUUAGAUGUUUUAUUACAGGAUGGAACAGCAUGGAAAUGGAUGGAAUUAAGAAAUUGUGAUUUACAUAUUACAUUUUAAAUUAUGUUUUUUUUUUGUCAACUUUCCUCUGGGGACCCCCCUGGGAGACGUUGAGACUCAUGUUUGUGGGUUGUGUCUUUUAUUAAGGAGCCACUUCUUUCCCUUGUGAAGGAAGUGGCUCCUUAAUUGGGGUGUGGCUUGAAAAAUUACAUAAUGACUUCUUCAUAAAUAUCUGUGAAUUGACAUCCUGACCAAUUUCUUCAUGGGACGUUCAUCAUUAUCGCCGAACUAGCUGCGGCACAAAACUAGUAACGACUAGUUAAUCACUAGUUACUCUUUUUGUGCCCCUCAAGUAAACUGAUUCAUCAUACCGAGUACCAGUACCUGAUGAUUCAUUAAUAUAUAAUCUUCAGUCAGUUCUCCAGUAAAUCAUCAUUAUAGUCCUCCCCUGUGUCCCGUAGUGUCAGUGUUACCCUUCUGCUUCUUCUUCCUCUUGCACUGCCUUUGUUCCCCCUUGCCACUCACUUUCUUUCCCUCCUCUCUUCCCUUUUUAUACUCCCUCCUUCUUCUCCCUUCCUCCUCCCCCACAGCAGCACCAAGGUGUUGGUAGCAGAGCAGCGAAGUAGGGAGGGGAUGGAGUGGGGAAUGGUAUCAGAUGUUCUGUUGUUAUCUGAGAUGGACAGGAAGGACUGUUCCGCCCAAUCAACCUCCGUCAACGUCCUUGGAUGAGUAAAUGACACUGGGGACGCCUGGACUGUGGAUUCAGACAACUGUCUGGGUAGAUCAGGGCUGCACGAGCUCACUUGGACACCACUUUCAAGCCUCCAAGUGCAUUUUGGUGAAAUUCAAGGACAGUUGUUAGGUGUUUUCUGGAAUUCAUGAUGUGACGAUUUCAGAAGUUGAUUUAUUCUCAGGAAGAAUUCUCAAUUUCAUAAUUUCUAUUGAGGAAUUGUGUGGGAACUUUAUAGAUAUUGCAGUCCUUAUUAACAACUGUGGCAAUGAUUUAUAAUUUCAGACAAGAGAAGUACAAAAUGUUCCACAUUUAUACUUUUAAUAUCACAAGGUAUCACCCUGCCUCUUGUAAUUAUCUCUAUUUUAAUAUCCUUUCAUGUCCUUUGUGCUGACCCACAAUGGAUAAAUAAAGUGAUUCUGAAUGAACAA